CGAUUAGCUUGGACGUCCGCAACUAAUUUGGGAAGCCGACUAGGUCAUAUUUCUAUGACCGGCAUUGACCAGGCUGUUCGCCCGGUCAUUUAGGGAGCCCGGCGAUAGAUGCUUUUAGGAACCAAGCGUUAGAUUUGACUUUUUGGUGUCUUGUAAAUACGAAAUAUUCUUUUAAUGAAAGACGACAAUAGCAAGCAAAUUCCAAGGUUUGCCGACUAAGUCUUUCGGAGUUCAUAUGAUUCUCUCAAAGAUGCCUAUAUGAAAAAAGGAUGUGUGCGUGUGCUCAUACGAUUCUCUCGAAGGUGCUUAUAUGAAUAGGGAGUGUGUAGGUGUGUUCAUAGCUGCACUGUGUUUAACAAAAGAAGGUCAGAAUUUGUUGAAAAUCCUGGAAAUACCCACCAGAGACCAGCGAUGGCGGCGCCCCUUCCGUCGCCCCGUCCGGCGGGACCAUCCCUGUCCCAAAUCCUAGAGCGGAGGCCAGAACCCAGGAGGGCAGCGCCCUCUCCCGCGUGCGCGGAGCCGACCGGGGAGAAGGACAUCAAGGCGCCCUUCCACUGGGAGCACUCGUUCCCAAACGCGGCGGCCGGGGAGGAUGGUGAUGGCGGCGCCGGCGCCGGCAGCCCUGACGAGCACAUCCGGCGACGAGGAGACGCGGCCGGCUCCCCUCGACGUGUGCUGGAUCGGCCGGCCCGCCCGACGAGCAGGAUAAGGGGGGCAAUGCUGGAUCGGGCAUGACCGUGAAUCUCGAGUGUUCAAGAUUCCGUGUGCCGCGGCCUCCGAUGGCCAAGGGACACAAAUGUUCUUUACCAAUUUGCUGCUCUGCCUUGCAGAUGGCCAGUUGCUAGAUUGACCCAUUGAUUAUGGGGAGUACGUACCUGACAUGUCAAAGAAUUUCUCACAAGUAAUUAGCCAGCCAAUCGGAUCCUCUCCACUGAAUAAUGGAAUUUCCAGUCUAGGCCCUCUCAAUGUAGCUUCAGCAAAAUAUGAAGGUCCUCCUAACUGA